CAGUACUAGGUGGUGGGUCGCGCGUUGCCGACCCCCGGCGAUGAGCAGCCCAAGAUCUACCGCAUGAAGCUCUGGGCCACCAACGAGGUCCACGCCAAGUCCAAGUUCUGGUACUUCCUGAGGAAGCUCAAGAAGGUGAAGAAGGCCAACGGCCAGAUGCUCGCCAUCAACGAGAUCUUUGAGAUCGGAAGAG